AUCCAGUUAGUUGUUCUUUGGUUUCACAAAAUGCAACAAAUCUGCAGUGUCAGUGACACUGACUGUCAGGAGGUACAAAGGAUUAAAAAUCGAGCCUUGACUUUCGUUUGUGAGAAGAUUGUGAUCAUUUCCAGACAUAAAAUUGCUAAGUUUCUUUGGCCGUCUUUCGUGAUCUUAAUAUGCUUGAAAUAAAUGAAAAGCAGGAAAUUCUUAGCAAUGUGCUACAAAUGUGUGCUACUUACGCAGAUUCUUCGAGUACUGUGUCAUCACCGCCCAGAAAUAGAGAUAGUUUCAAGGAGUGGGGGAACAACAGAUGAUCCGCAACAGAUGAAGUAGAUCUCUACAUUUUAAUGCACCCAGGAGAUGAUGACUUAAAGUGAUGGAGCAGACAUGAAACAGAUCUGCUAGGCCUGGCUGCAGUUGCAAGACG